AACGAACGCUGGCGGCAGGCUUAACACAUGCAAGUCGAACGAGCUGGGAACUUCGGUUCCCGAUGCUAGUGGCGCACGGGUGAGUAACACGUGGGAACGUACCCUUUAGUACGGAAUAACUCAGGGAAACUUGAGCUAAUACCGUAUGACUCCUUCGGGAGAAAGAUUUAUCGCUAAAGGAACGGCCCGCGUCUGAUUAGGUAGUUGGUAGGGUAACGGCCUACCAAGCCGACGAUCAGUAGCUGGUCUGAGAGGAUGAUCAGCCACACUGGGACUGAGACACGGCCCAGACUCCUACGGGAGGCAGCAGUGGGGAAUAUUGGACAAUGGGGGCAACCCUGAUCCAGCCAUGCCGCGUGAGUGAAGAAGGCCUUCGGGUUGUAAAGCUCUUUCGACGGGGACGAUGAUGACGGUACCCGUAUAAGAAGCCCCGGCAAACUUCGUGCCAGCAGCCGCAGUAA
rnacentral:rRNA from 1 species